AUGAAGCGGUGGACAAAGCAAGCCAGGUCAUCUACUUUCAACAAUAAGUUGGAAAAGUAUAUCUGCGACAUGAACAAGGAAUCUAGAUCAUUUAGGCACAAGCUAUUAUAUUUUGCUGCAAUAGAUAUAGUGAAUGAAGCUGAAACUGAUCCAGAUGCUUUUGCAAUGGCAAAGUCUAAUUUUACUCGCUGCAAGAUGGAAUUACAUGAGCACAAACUUUCAAAGACAACUACAUGCCAGGUCGGAUAUGGAUCAAUCCCUGAACAUGAAGUAAGUACACAGUCUGGUAUUCAACAGGAAGAUGACGAAGUUGGUGAUUCAUGUAUUCAAAUAGUUGAUACCGCAAGAAAUCUCUCUAUUCCGGUAUCUUCAAUUCUUGCACCUGCUAUAAUGAAGAAGAACAGUAGACCAUCAAAUAAAAGGUACAUGUCUAGCAUGGAAGCAAACAUCAAGAAGAAGAAGAAACGUGGGAAAAAACCUGACCCGAAGAGCAAACAACCUGGUGGUGUGUUAGGGGUUGUCCAGUCAAGGAAGUAG
rnacentral:rRNA from 1 species